UACAGAGGUGCCAAGCGUUAGGCGGAAUCACUGGGCUUAAAGCGCGUGUAGGCGGGUCGUUAAGUGUCUUGUGAAAUCCCACGGCUCAACCGUGGAACUGCUGGGCAUACUGGACGAUCUUGAGGCACUCAGGGGCCGUCGGAACAAAUGGUGGAGCGGUGAAAUGCGUAGAUAUCAGGAGGAACACCAGCGGCGAAGGCGGCGCUCGUGGGCCGGAACUGACGCUGAGGAGCGAAAGCGUGGGUAGCAAACAGG
rnacentral:rRNA from 1 species